rnacentral:rRNA from 1 species
AGAGUUUGAUCAUGGCUCAGAUUGAACGCUGGCGGUAGGCUUAACACAUGCAAGUCGUGCGAGAAAGUACCUUCGGGUGCGAGUAGAGCGGCGGACGGGUGAGUAACGCGUAGGAAUCUACCUAGUAGAAGGGGAUAGCCCGAGGAAACUCGGAUUAAUACCGUAUACCUCCUUAGGGAGAAAGAGGGCUUAGCUUUGAUGCUCUCGCUAUUAGAUGAGCCUGCGUAAGAUUAGCUUGUUGGUGAGGUAAUGGCUCACCAAGGCGACGAUCUUUAGCUGGUCUGAGAGGACGAUCAGCCACAUCGGGACUGAGACACGGCCCAGACUCCUACGGGAGGCAGCAGUGGGGAAUAUUGGACAAUGGGCGCAAGCCUGAUCCAGCCAUACCGCGUGUGUGAAGAAGGCUUUCGGGUUGUAAAGCACUUUAAGUAAGGAGAAAAAGAUUGCAGUUAGUACCUGCUAUCCGUGAUGUUACUUACAGAAUAAGGACCGGCUAAUUCCGUGCCAGCAGCCGCGGUAAUACGGAAGGUCCAAGCGUUAAUCGGAAUUACUGGGCGUAAAGCGCGCGUAGGUGGUUUUUUAAGUUGGAUGUGAAAGCCCUGGGCUCAACCUAGGAACUGCAUCCAAAACUAGAUGACUAGAGUACGAAAGAGGGAAGUAGAAUUCACAGUGUAGCGGUGGAAUGCGUAGAUAUUGUGAAGAAUACCAAUGGCGAAGGCAGCUUCCUGGUUCAGUACUGACACUAAGGUGCGAAAGCGUAGGUAGCGAACAGGAUUAGAUACCCUGGUAGUCCACGCCGUAAACGAUGACAACUAGCUGUUGGGAGACAAGAUCUCUCAGUGGCGCAGCUAACGCUUUAAGUUGUCCGCCUGGGGAGUACGGGCCGC